GAUGAACGCUGGCGGCGUGCCUAAUACAUGCAAGUCGAGCGAAUCAUGAGGUGCUUGCACCUCUUGGUUAGCGGCGGACGGGUGAGUAACACGUGGGCAACCUGCCUGUAAGACUGGGAUAACUUCGGGAAACCGGAGCUAAUACCGGAUAAUCCUUUUCCUCUCAUGAGGAAAAGCUGAAAGUCGGUUUCGGCUGACACUUACAGAUGGGCCCGCGGCGCAUUAGCUAGUUGGUGAGGUAACGGCUCACCAAGGCGACGAUGCGUAGCCGACCUGAGAGGGUGAUCGGCCACACUGGGACUGAGACACGGCCCAGACUCCUACGGGAGGCAGCAGUAGGGAAUCUUCCGCAAUGGACGAAAGUCUGACGGAGCAACGCCGCGUGAGCGAUGAAGGCCUUCGGGUCGUAAAGCUCUGUUGUUAGGGAAGAACAAGUAUCGGAGUAACUGCCGGUACCUUGACGGUACCUAACCAGAAAGCCACGGCUAACUACGUGCCAGCAGCCGCAGUAA
rnacentral:rRNA from 1 species